CAGGCAAGGGAAGCUAGAGAGCCAGCAAAGUGCACAGCAAAGGGUUAUGGGAUAGAGCUGCAUUUGCACCUGCACCUAGAGAGGAAGAAAGGUCGAGGGCUUGGAACUUGGCCAUGCAUGCGAUUGCGAUGCAUGCAACGUUCUCCUUGACCCUCUCGCUCUUCCUGUAGGUGCAGUGGCAUAUGCAACUCUAUCACAGGCAUCCUAGGUACACAUCACUCGUCACACAUUCUCCCCAUCUUCUUGCUUUUGGCUACAUCAGAAGCUCAAGGUGUCUUUAUGCAAGUAGCUCGUCCAGCUUCAGCUUGGAUCGAUAAUAGGUGAAGAAGAAUGGCGUGAUAUGGCUGCAUUUGCACCUGCACCUGCGACGAAGAACAAAGGAAACGCUUUUUGUCCUCCUCAAGUUGCUAGGUGCAGUGGCACAUGCAGCCGUAUCACAUGAAUUUUCUGAACACAAGUUGAAGUUACUUCAGUUGUUUUGCCUUCUUUUUUACCCGUCCUGCUGGACUCGUAACUAUGUAAAUGAUGUAUUCUUGGCAACUGCCGAUUUUCUUGAAUAUCAGAGCCUCAUAGGCAACUAGGGAUGCUAGCAUGAACACAUGAUUUUCCCCAAGACAAGUUAAGGAUCCAUUUGAUUGAAUUUUUCUAAAGGAAAUUUUGCAGGAUUAUUCUAACUUUUAGGAAUUUUUUCCCUAUAUGUGGGUUGCUUGAUUUGUACGUACGAUUGAAAUCCAUAAGAUGUUUGCCAUGUGACUCAUUUGCGCUAGAGGCCCCUUGGAUUCUAAAUAUUAUAGGAUUUUGGUAGAAUUACAG
rnacentral:rRNA from 1 species